rnacentral:rRNA from 1 species
UAAUACGUAGGGGGCAAGCGUUGUCCGGAUUCACUGGGUGUAAAGGGCGCGCAGGCGGGUUAGCAAGUCAGAGGUGAAAUCCUACAGCUUAACUGUAGAACUGCCUUUGAGACUGCUAAUCUUGAGUACGGAAGAGAGAGAUGGAAUUCCAGGUGUAGUGGUGAAAUACGUAGAUAUCUGGAAGAACACCAGUGGCGAAGGCGGUCUCUUGGUCCUAUACUGACGCUAAGGCGCGAAAGCGUGGGGAGCAAACAGGAUUAGAUACCCUGGUAGUCCACGCUGUAAACGAUGAAUACUAGGUGUCGGAUCGAAAGGUUCGGUACCGAAGCUAACGCAUUAAGUAUUCCACCUGGGGAGUACGAUCGCAAGGUUGAAACUUAAAUGAAUUGACGG